rnacentral:lncRNA from 1 species
UAGUAAGAGGAGAUCGCAUCCUAUAUAUUCUCAAUCCUAGAUGAUUUGAAAAAAAUCUUUAGGCCAAAAGCAGAAAGAAGAUUAGAAAGAGUUUCUAAUACUUUUUUAUUGGAGUCAUCAUUGGUUAAUUGAGAAUCAAUAUGAAUAUGUAUUUGAGUUUGACAUGAUUUCAUACUCAUGAACAUAUUCAAGGUGCAGGG